GGCCAAUGAUGUACUCAAAUGCACGUAUUAACAGAUUACUCUAUGAUGAUAUCGCAAUUGUCACUACCUCUGAGGCC